AUCUCCAAGCCAAGCACCGGGUCAGCCCUCAAUUCUUAGCCGGUGGAGACAGCACUCCGAUCGGCUUGCGCUUUAUAAUUACGAUGAGGUCCUGCUCACCUUGUCCAGGGGCACCAAAGCUACGCACUGAAACACUGUCAAAUUGCGAUUAAUUCUUAUUAUAUUUUGCCGUUGUUAUUACAGUCAUAUAUAUUUAAAAAAAUAGCCUACAAACCUCGGACUCAACAAAAUGAACAUAGAACAUAGCCUACAAAUGCAACUGCAACGACAGAAAAUACAUAAUCAAAACAAGCAGGGAAAGCUUUAGUGAUCUAUUUAAAGCACGAUAUUUUUGUAUGAGUUUUGACCUCCCAACAACCAAUAAUAAUUUGCAUUCGCCAAUAGGCUGUCUGGUUGGCUAAGAUCGCACUGUUGGAGAUUUAUUAACUUAUGAAUGGCUGAUUUUGCGGAAGGGGAGCGUGAAGGGCGUAAGAUUGCCAUAGGACGAUAUUGAACAUUUAUCCCAACAAUGACCAUUUCCGCGACUCGCUGCAGCUUUGCGAGAGACUACAUGGGAAGGACAGCAGCAAAUAAACCGGACAUUGCCACUUUAACGGCAGCCCCGGGCCAUUCGAAAAAGCGCAGACACAGAUGCCGCAUUCAAGCAAGAGGAAAAACGGGUUGAAAGAUUCUUAAGCCUAAAAUCAAGCGAGGAGACAGGGCGCUGUGCGGGGGCUAGGGCCAGGGCGGGGCCCGUCCUGUCCAUGGUGAGUGGACCCAAGGCCUGUGUGGGUAAGAGAGCAGGGCACUCCACCCAUGGGCACAUCCCCCUGGACAACACGAAGGAGCCAGCAGGGUAGAUCAUUUCACAUUUGCAAUUCAACGCGUCCAUAGCAGACAUCUUUAGAGACUUACAGGCGUUCACACGAAAGGGAAACACAAUCCAAGUGUGCCAGCAAAUGAUCACAGUGUUCUUUUUCCUCCAAGCCACUUAUGCAAAAUGCAGUAGUAUUGUUUCAUUUAACCUCACAGGAAACGGCGUAUAAAAGGCAGAGAAGGCAGCCCCAAGGUUAUCUCAGAGGUAUGUUCUGUAAUGAGGCUUCACAUCCGUCAUGUGAAACAGCCAGAGUACUGUAAGCAACCUAGGCCACAGCACACAGGAACUGAUGACAAGCAUGGCAAGACCAUAGACCACUCAGUUGUGUUCUGCAAGCGGCACCGUAGCACACACAGUUGGUACUUUUAGGAGAGAUGCUCAAAAAGAUUUUCUACAAUGAUGUUGUUGCAAGUCUGGCAGGGUGUGUUCAUUUGUAGACAGUACUUGUGUUUCUUUAGCGAGCGAGAUAUAAUGUCUGAAUGUCACAGGAUCCUUAAAUAUAUCACAGACAAAAUGACUUUUUUUGUGUCUGAAAACAUCUUUUUUAACAUAGACUAAUGUCAACUUGUGUCUAUUCCUCCUGCGGCUUUCGUUGCCUUGUUCUCUUGCUUUCUCUGUGAUCUCAGACAAUAAAGACCAUUGCAUUUA